CCUACGGGAGGCAGCAGUGGGGAAUAUUGCGCAAUGGGGGGAACCCUGACGCAGCAACGCCGCGUGAAUGAAGAAGGCCUUCGGGUUGUAAAAUUCUGUCAAGAGGGAAGAAGACUCUUAUUUUAAUAGAGUAAGAGAUGACAGUACCGAUAGAGGAAGCUCCGGCUAACUACGUGCCAGCAGCCGCGGUAAU
rnacentral:rRNA from 1 species